AUUGAACGCUGGCGGCAUGCUUUACACAUGCAAGUCGAACGGCAGCGCGGGCUUCGGCCUGGCGGCGAGUGGCGAACGGGUGAGUAAUACAUCGGAACGUGCCCAGUAGUGGGGGAUAGCUCGGCGAAAGCCGGAUUAAUACCGCAUACGACCUGAGGGUGAAAGCGGGGGAUCUUCGGACCUCGCGCUAUUGGAGCGGCCGAUGGCAGAUUAGCUAGUUGGUGGGGUAAAGGCCUACCAAGGCGACGAUCUGUAGCUGGUCUGAGAGGACGACCAGCCACGCUGGGACUGAGACACGGCCCAGACUCCUACGGGAGGCAGCAGUGGGGAAUUUUGGACAAUGGGCGAAAGCCUGAUCCAGCAAUGCCGCGUGUGUGAUGAAGGCCUUCGGGUUGGAAAGCACUUUUGGCGGGAACGAAAAGGACUGUGCCAAUACCACGGUUCGAUGACGGUACCCGCAGAAUAAGCACCGGCUAACUACG
rnacentral:rRNA from 1 species